AGGAGCAAAGGAAAAUUUAAUGUUUGAAAUCUCCACAUCAGAUCAAGGCAAGAUCAAGUUUUUGUACAAAUGCAAGAAAAUUUUUCUUUCCCAGUGUAAUUUAUUUGGAAUUUGAAAUUUAUAACUUAACAAUUAUUGUCAUAAUAACUUAACAAUUAUUACAGAACAGUUUUUCAAUUAACAAUUCUACAUUCAUUUUCUCGUACCUCAUUCCCGGUACCAUCUCAUCAAAAGUACAAUGUUGUCUAAAAUAAACGUUAAACACGAGUCCAUGAUGAAUUAUUAAUUUUAAUUUCUCAUCCAAAUAAAUGAUCAAUAACGGUUUUAAUACUUAAAUUUGAAUAAUUAUAUCGUACUUAAUAAGUCUGUUUUCUGUUUUUAUAAUAUUCUUUCAUGCUAGGUUUUCUUCGGAGUAAAAGGGUUUAGUGAAAAUAUUUUAAUCAAUAAAUACUGUUGUUAUGUCAAUAUGUAAAUUGACGCAACAAUAUUACACAUUGUGAAUAAUUGUUACUCCAAUAUAUUAUGCAAUAAAUUCUAUUCUAUGUUUCUACGUCUUACAUAACACUUGAUAGAUGAGUAUUUAUGAGGUAUCAAAUAUCGGCUAAUUAUUUGUGUUACAUCUAUAAAUUAUGUGAAUGUGGACGAAUUCGCAAAUUAAAUUAAAUUCUCUCUUGUACUAGUAAAAUAUAUAAAAAAUUAACAGUAAAUGCAUAUUAACGAAUAUGCGAUUGGGGUAUUAAUGUGAAAAAUGUAACCUUCGAGCCUUACUACUUCAUAACCAAAAUAAAAAAUUUAUUUAUAAAUAAACAGAAAAAUGCAUACCAUUUUCUCUUGAAAAUGGAAACUCAAGGUUAGUGGGAAAAUAGCGUAGGGUAUCACUUUUGUUAGCCUCGUAAAUAUUGUCAGAGUUUUUUAAUAGAUCAAUAUUGUGAAUGUAAAAUCUACUUGCUAUUUACCGAUUUAAAAGACAUUUUUUAAUCCAUUCAUUUAUUUUAUUUCAGUACGAAAUACUGUUAAUGGUGGAGUGGGAAAACUAAUGGGAGCUAUAAGCAGCCUCACUGAUAGUGGAACUGCUCUUGGACCAGUAGGUGGAUUAGUGAACGCUGUCGGCCAUGCUGGCGGUCAUCUCAUUCAAGGAAAACUGAAUGAAAUUGAUUUCAUGGUAAAUGAUGCUGCUUGUGGACGUAAGUAAUUUCAUUUAU